UUAAAGGUAUCUGUGACCAACAGAUGCAUACCUGUAUUCCCAGUCAUGUGAAAUCCAUAGAUUAGGGCCUAAUGACUUUAUUUAAAUUGUCUGAUUUCCUCAUAUGAACUGUAACUCAGUAACAUCUUUGAAGUUGUUGCAUUGAUAUGUUUGUUCAGUAUUUAUUAUCAGGUGAAAUGAUCUGGGAUUGGGAUUUCUAUGAAUUCUGGGAUAGGGAUUGGGAUUUCUAUGAAUUCUGGGAUUGGGAUUUCUAUGAAUUCUGGGAUAGGGAUUGGGAUUUCCAUGAAUUCUGGGAUUGGGAUUUCCAUGAAUUCUGGGAUAGGGAUUUCCAUGAAUUCUGGGAUAGGGAUUUCUAUGAAUUCUGGGAUUGGGAUUUCCAUGAAUUCUGGGAUUGGGAUUUCCAUGAAUUCUGGGAUAGGGAUUUC
rnacentral:lncRNA from 13 species